rnacentral:rRNA from 1 species
GACGAACGCUGGCGGCGUGCUUAACACAUGCAAGUCGAGCGGUAAGGCCCUUUCGGGGGUACGACGAGCGGCGAACGGGUGAGUAACACGUGGGUGACCUGCCCUCAGCUCUGGGAUAAGCCUGGGAAACCGGGUCUAAUACCGGAUAUGACUCCAUGACGCAUGUUGUGGGGUGGAAAGCCUUGUGCGGCUGAGGAUGGGCCCGCGGCCUAUCAGCUUGUUGGUGGGGUAAUGGCCACCAAGGCGACGACGGUAGCCGGCCUGAGAGGGCGACCGGCCACACUGGGACUGAGACACGGCCCAGACUCCUACGGGAGGCAGCAGUGGGGAAUCUUGCGCAAUGGGCGAAAGCCUGACGCAGCGACGCCGCGUGAGGGAUGACGGCCU